GAUGAACGCUAGCUACAGGCUUAACACAUGCAAGUCGCGGGGCAGCAUGGGGGUUGCUUGCAAUCCCCGAUGGCGACCGGCGCACGGGUGAGUAACGCGUAUCCAACCUGCCCUUCACCACGGGAUAACCCGGCGAAAGUCGGACUAAUACCGUAUGUUGUCCAUUGACGGCAUCCGAUUUGGACGAAAGGUUUGGCGGUGAAGGAUGGGGAUGCGUCCGAUUAGCUGGACGGCGGGGUGACGGCCCACCGUGGCGACGAUCGGUAGGGGUUCUGAGAGGAAGGUCCCCCACACUGGAACUGAGACACGGUCCAGACUCCUACGGGAGGCAGCAGUGAGGAAUAUUGGUCAAUGGGCGUAAGCCUGAACCAGCCAAGUAGCGUGCAGGAUGACGGCCCUAUGGGUUGUAAACUGCUUUUAUGCAGGGAUAAAGUGGCCCACGUGUGGGUUUUUGCAGGUACCGCAUGAAUAAGGACCGGCUAAUUCCGUG
rnacentral:rRNA from 1 species